rnacentral:snRNA from 1 species
ACUCAUGCCUGGCAGGGGAGAUACCAUGAUCAUGAAAGUGGUUUUCUCAGGGUAAGGCUCAUACAUUGUACUUUGGGUGUUCUGAUCCCUGUGAUUUCCCCAAAUGUGGGAAAAUCAACUGCCUAAUUUGUGGUAGUGGGGGACUGCGUUUGUGGUUUCCCCUG